UAACACGUGGGUAACCUGCCUGUAAGACUGGGAUAACUCCGGGAAACCGGGGCUAAUACCGGAUGGUUGUUUGAACCGCAUGGUUCAAACAUAAAAGGUGGCUUCGGCUACCACUUACAGAUGGACCCGCGGCGCAUUAGCUAGUUGGUGAGGUAAUGGCUCACCAAGGCAACGAUGCGUAGCCGACCUGAGAGGGUGAUCGGCCACACUGGGACUGAGACACGGCCCAGACUCCUACGGGAGGCAGCAGUAGGGAAUCUUCCGCAAUGGACGAAAGUCUGACGGAGCAACGCCGCGUGAGUGAUGAAGGUUUUCGGAUCGUAAAGCUCUGUUGUUAGGGAAGAACAAGUACCGUUCGAAUAGGGCGGUAC
rnacentral:rRNA from 1 species